rnacentral:rRNA from 1 species
CCUACGGGAGGCUGCAGUAGGGAAUCUUCCACAAUGGGCGAAAGCCUGAUGGAGCAACGCCGCGUGGAUGAAGAAGGUCUUCGGAUCGUAAAACCCUGUUGUUAGAGAAGAAAGUGCGUGAGAGUAACUGUUCACGUUUCGACGGUAUCUAACCAGAAAGCCAUGGCUAACUACGUGCCAGCAGCCGCGGUAAUACGUAGGUGGCAAGCGUUAUCCGGAUUUAUUGGGCGUAAAGGGAACGCAGGCGGUCUUUUAAGUCUGAUGUGAAAGCCUUCGGCUUAACCGGAGUAGUGCAUUGGAAACUGGGAGACGUGAGUGCAGAAGAGGAGAGUGGAACUCCAUGUGUAGCGGUGAAAUGCGUAGAUAUAUGGAAGAACACCAGUAGCGAAAGCGGCUCUCUGGUCUGUAACUGACGCUGAGGUUCGAAAGCGUGGGUAGCAAACAGGAUUAGAUACCCCUGUAGUC